UGUGGUGUAGUGGUCAGCCCACUCGGUGUGUAUUCGAGAGGUCCAGGUUCGAGUCCUGGCA
rnacentral:tRNA from 1 species